GACGAACGCGGCGGCGUGCUUAACACAUGCAAGUCGAACGAAGAGCGAUGGAAGCUUGCUUCUAUCAAUCUUAGUGGCGAACGGGUGAGUAACGCGUAAUCAACCUGCCCUUCAGAGGGGGACAACAGUUGGAAACGACUGCUAAUACCGCAUACGAUCUAACCUCGGCAUCGAGGAUAGAUGAAAGGUGGCCUCUACAUGUAAGCUAUCACUGAAGGAGGGGAUUGCGUCUGAUUAGCUAGUUGGAGGGGUAACGGCCCACCAAGGCGAUGAUCAGUAGCCGGUCUGAGAGGAUGAACGGCCACAUUGGGACUGAGACACGGCCCAGACUCCUACGGGAGGCAGCAGUGGGGAAUCUUCCGCAAUGGACGAAAGUCUGACGGGGCAACGCCGCGUGAGUGAUGACGGCCUUCGGGUUGUAAUGCUCUGUUAAUCGGGACGAAAGGCCUUUC
rnacentral:rRNA from 1 species